UUUUUAUUAUUUAAUUAUUUAAAAAAUCAAAUUCUCCUUCUUCCACAUCAAGCCUAAAUCCUCAUUCCUCAGCAGCUUCUUCAGUUCUCCUUUCCCUUUUGCGAUUUACACAAUCCUCAUCCUUACCACCGGCACCCAGCAUCGUCACCCUCGUAUGUCGUCUGUUGUCUGUACUUGUCCUUCUUCGUGUUUCUACACCUCACCUCAGAAGUCACUCUCCCUCACACGACCAAACAGAUUCCCACGGAGAAACCGCUCUUAGCCUCGGCCGAUGGAUUGGAGGUUUCCAACGAAGCAACGGCAGCGGUGAUGUAUUUGACUGUUCUUUGAUUUUUUUUCUUUCCUCGCCUUUUCAUGAAAGUUUAUGCAUUCCACCUAUAUGUUUAAAUUCCCGUGUUAAUCAUUUUCCUAACUAAGUUCAUUUAGGCUUGCAGUUGGGUUGUUGUUUGAUGCAUACCAUUUUUCAAUUGUUAUGGUUCCCAUUUCUGUGAACACAUUCUUUGAAAUCUUCUAUUCCCAAUAGGAUCAACUUCUUGAAAUUUGGUUUUGCAUCUACCAAAUUCAAGAGGCUUGAUAUUGAGAAGGACCAGAUUUCGUAACUAACUCGUGCCUUCUUCGGGUUCUAUUGGGUUAAGAGAGCGCUUCAAUGGUACGUGAGGGGAAAGAGAAGAAGGGGAAGGAAAAGGAGAAUUAAUUUUUUUUAAAAUAAUUAAAAAUGAUAUAAAACUCAUGUGUUAAUGAUUAGGCUUAGAUGAUGCCACAUUUCAUGGUUAUCAUCUAAUACAAUGAAACCAAUGGUAUGUAUUACAUUAAAAUAUAAAAAAAUUUAGAUAC
rnacentral:lncRNA from 1 species